UACGUAGGUGGCGAGCGUGGUCCGGAUUUACUGGGCGUAAAGAGCGCGCAGGCGGUCGUACAAGUCGCGUGUGAAAGCCCCCGGCUCAACUGGGGAGGGUCACGCGAUACUGUUCGACUCGAAGGCAGGAGAGGGUAGUGGAAUUCCCGGUGUAGUGGUGAAAUGCGUAGAUAUCGGGAGGAACACCAGUGGCGAAGGCGACUACCUGGCCUGUUCUUGACGCUGAGGCGCGAAAGCUAGGGUAGCAAACGGG
rnacentral:rRNA from 1 species